rnacentral:rRNA from 1 species
GCGACAGGCUUAACACAUGCAAGUCGAGGGGCAGCACAGGUAGCAAUACCGGGUGGCGACCGGCGCACGGGUGAGUAACGCGUAUGCAACUUGCCUAUCAGAGGGGGAUAACCCGGCGAAAGUCGGACUAAUACCGCAUGAAGCAGGGAUCCCGCAUGGGAAUAUUUGCUAAAGAUUCAUCGCUGAUAGAUAGGCAUGCGUUCCAUUAGGCAGUUGGCGGGGUAACGGCCCACCAAACCGACGAUGGAUAGGGGUUCUGAGAGGAAGGUCCCCCACAUUGGUACUGAGACACGGACCAAACUCCUACGGGAGGCGGCAGUGAGGAAUAUUGGUCAAUGGCCGAGAGGCUGAACCAGCCAAGUCGCGUGAGGGAUGAAGGUUCUAUGGAUCGUAAACCUCUUUUAUAAGGGAAUAAAGUGCGGGACGUGUCCCGUUUUGUAUGUACCUUAUGAAUAUGGAUCGGCUAACUCCGUGCCAGCAGCCGCGGUAAUACGGAGGAUCCGAGCGUUAUCCGGAUUUAUUGGGUUUAAAGGGCGCGUAGGCGGCCUUUUAAGUCAGCGGUGAAAGUCUGUGGCUCAACCAUAGAAUUGCCGUUGAAACUGGGGGGCUUGAGUAUGUUUGAGGCAGGCGGAAUGCGUGGUGUAGCGGUGAAAUGCAUAGAUAUCACGCAGAACCCCGAUUGCGAAGGCAGCCCGCCAAGCCAUUACUGACGCUGAUGCACGAAAGCGUGGGGAUCAAACAGGAUUAGAUACCCUGGUAGUCCACGCAGUAAACGAUGAUCACUAGCUGUUUGCGAUACACUGUAAGCGGCACAGCGAAAGCGUUAAGUGAUCCACCUGGGGAGUACGCCGGCAACGGUGAAACUCAAAGGAAUUGACGGGGGCCCGCACAAGCGGAGGAACAUGUGGUUUAAUUCGAUGAUACGCGAGGAACCUUACCCGGGUUUGAACGCAUUCGGACCGAGGUGGAAACACCUUUUCUAGCAAUAGCCGUUUGCGAGGUGCUGCAUGGUUGUCGUCAGCUCGUGCCGUGAGGUGUCGGCUUAAGUGCCAUAACGAGCGCAACCCUUGCCACUAGUUACUAACAGGUAAAGCUGAGGACUCUGGUGGGACUGCCAGCGUAAGCUGCGAGGAAGGCGGGGAUGACGUCAAAUCAGCACGGCCCUUACAUCCGGGGCGACACACGUGUUACAAUGGCGUGGACAAAGGGAAGCCACCUGGCGACAGGGAGCGAAUCCCCAAACCACGUCUCAGUUCGGAUCGGAGUCUGCAACCCGACUCCGUGAAGCUGGAUUCGCUAGUAAUCGCGCAUCAGCCAUGGCGCGGUGAAUACGUUCCCGGGCCUUGUACACACCGCCCGUCAAGCCAUGGGAGCCGGGGGUACCUGAAGUCCGUAACCGCGAGGAUCGGCCUAGGGUAAAACUGGUGACUGGGGCUAAGUCAUAACA